UACGUAGGGUGCUAGCGUUAAUCGGAAUUACUGGGCGUAAAGCGUGCGCAGGCGGUUUGGGAUGUCUGAUGUGAAAGCCCCGGGCUCAACCUGGGAAUUGCAUUGGAAACUAGCGGGCUGGAGUGUGGCAGAGGGGGGUGGAAUUCCACGUGUAGCAGUGAAAUGCGUAGAGAUGUGGAGGAACACCGAUGGCGAAGGCAGCCCCCUGGGCUAACACUGACGCUCAUGCACGAAAGCGUGGGGAGCAAACAGG
rnacentral:rRNA from 1 species